GAUGAAGAACGCAGCGAAAUGCGAUACGUAAUGUGAAUUGCAAAUUCAGUGAAUCAUCGAAUCUUUGAACGCACAUUGCGCCCCCUGGUAUUCCGGGGGGCAUGCCUGUUCGAGCGUCAUUUCACCACUCAAGCCUCGCUUGGUAUUGGGCAACGCGGUCCGCCGCGUGCCUCAAAUCGACCGGCUGGGUCUUCUGUCCCCUAAGCGUUGUGGAAACUAUUCGCUAAAGGGUGUUCGGGAGGCUACGCCGUAAAACAACCCCAUUUCUAAGGUUGACCUCGGAUCAGGUAGGGAUACCCGCUGAACUUAAGCAUAUCAAUAACGGAGGA
rnacentral:misc_RNA from 1 species